GAAAUUGAUUUAAGGGUAUCAUCAAGCUUUUUGUAACGAUCUGUGACUUCAGAGGUAGGUGAUUGACUGCCAUAUUCUAUAAGCCAAUCGUAACUUUCGACAGAAUCAUUCUUUAGGAUCUUGGUUUCUUCAGGGUUUGCAAAUUCUAAGAAUUCAUCAUCGUCCACCAUCGCCUGAGCUCUAUACAAUAAUGUUUCUAGUUCAUUUAGUGCAUUAUCAUGAGCAGCUUUACUUUUAUCAAUUUGCAAUCUACGUUCAAGUUUCGCAGAGGCUAACCUAAGAGCAUUAUCCGACAUUUCACCAUAUUUCUUGUAUGUGAAACCUAUAGGAUAAGAUUCGUUAUUUCGUAAACCACUUUCAUCGUGGGAACCAAAUAGGCUCUUAACCCUGUCACCCAAUUUGUGCUUAGAAGACAACUCACCAUGUUCACAAGUCAUAAUUGCCGACAAAGGUACUAAAAUACCUUUAGUACGGUCACUAGAAAAUGAAAUUUGGAUAUUCUUGUUACUACAGGCGCAGACUUUCUCAACAUCAGUGAUAUUUGAUAACGUAAAUUCACCAAUAAGUUCUCCAUUGUUUGAAAGAGGGAACGAAGGGUGUUUGCCUAUUGUUGAAACAUUGUGAAUAGUGACAUUGUGUUGCAUGCCAUAGGGUGUAGAAUCCGGCAAAGCUACUAUGUACUCAGAUGUACCGAGUGAUAAAAGGUAUGGGUAGUUAAUGAUAUCUUGAACAAUUAAAGGCUUUACACGGAAGCUUUUAGUUAAAGAAGCACCAUAGAAUGCAGCUCCUUUCACAGACGCUUCGUCAGCAUUCACGUUCUUUGAUAUUUUAUCAGAAGAAACAUAAUCAGCAAGAGUAGAUUGGAUAAAUGGAAUACGAGAGGCUCCUCCAAACAAGAUAAUAGAGUUAAUUUCGGAAAAUGUGAGAUUUGCUUUUUUAAGUGCUUUAUUAAUAGGCUCUACAGCUGCAUCUUCCAUAUCCUUACAAAGCGAUUCUAAGACUGAUCGAGUUAUUUUCAGUCGAAAAUCGAUACCGUCAGCUAACUCUUCAAUAGAAGCAAUGGCCUCUGAAUUAGCAGAUAAUAUAUGCUUAACGCGCAAUGCUUCUUUCUCAAGGCGUGCUAGAGCACGAUGAUUGUGAGAUAAAUCUAUGCCAUGUUUCUGAUAAAAUGAAUUUUUCAUAAAACCAAUCAGCUUUCUAUUGAUUUCAUUCCCAGAAAGCUUCAACGUAAAUCCACUUGCCAAAGCACGAAUACGUGUGAUGUUUUGCUUUUUACCUAGUGAAGAUCCCUCUACCGUAUCAAAAGAUAUUACCGUUGCUGAAGUGGAGCCAGAGCCUGAGUCGUAAAUGAUGUUGUAAGUGGGAUCAGUCGAAAAACUACGAGAGAGUGAAUACUCUAUGGCAACAGCCACAUUAUCAUCAAUGAGGGCCAAAACAUGUUUGUUGAGAAUACGUGCCGCUUCAAGAAGAAUUGAGCGUUGAAGUUCAUUGAAAUGAGGUGGAACAGUCAACACCAAAUCAGUAAUUUUUUCAUGUGCCAUUUCUUCAGCCAGUGAUAUAUAAUGUUCCAUGGUCAUGGCAAUAAUUUCUUCCAAAGAGUAAUUUUCCUCGUCAGAGAUUACAAAGGAUAUACCAGAAGUAGUUUCUUCAUUCUCGACUAAUUGAAUUGCAGGAUAAGAACUUUGAUAUUUCUGUACUAAGACAGAUUCAAGACCAGCUGUAUCAAGAAGCUCCUUAACAUUACGAAUGGAAUGAGCAGGAAACCUGGUAGCCAAGUUGGAAGCAUCAACACCAAAAAUACGUUCAUUGCCUUUAAAAGCAACGGCACUUUGUUCCUUACGUCUAGUGUCUUUCGUCAAUACAAUUUCAAGAGGAAUUCCAGGCUUAAUGAGGGCCGCUUUAGUCCAUUCUGUGCCGUAAUCAAUUGCUAAUACUGAUGAAGCAAAAGCAUGCCAAAAUUGACAGGAAAAAAAUAAAAUAAUUGUGAGCACGGAGCGCUUCAUCAAAAUUCCGAAAAGUUUUCAAAAUCAACGAUAUAGCGAAGACAGCCCUUUCUUGGAGGUAGAUAGAUUACACAGUGGGGUGUUGUUAAGCGUGAGAGUAUGAUGGCUCAACUCCAAAAAUGCACUCAGCUUUGUGAACGCAGAACAACUAAUAUAUACGAUAUCCUUAUUUAGUUUUCGUAGUGAAUACAUAUUAAGGGCG